rnacentral:rRNA from 1 species
CCCUUAGAUGUUCUGGGCCGCACGCGCGCUACACUGAUGCAUUCAACAAGCCUAGCCUUGACCGAGAGGUCCGGGUAAUCUUUGAAACUGCAUCGCGAUGGGGCUAGAUUAUUGCAAUUAUUAAUCUUCAACGAGGAAUGCCUAGUAAGCGUGAUUCAUCAAAUCGCGUUGAUUACGUCCCUGCCCUUUGUACACACCGCCCGUCGCUCCUACCGAUUGAAUGUGUUGGUGAGGAGCUCGGAUUGGCAGCAGUUGGUGGUUCGCCACCGGCUAUUGCUGAGAAGUCCUCCAAACCGCCCCAUUUAGAGGAAGGAGAANUCGUANCA